rnacentral:rRNA from 1 species
GACGAACGCUGGCGGCGUGCUUAACACAUGCAAGUCGAACGAAGAGCGAUGGAAGCUUGCUUCUAUCAAUCUUAGUGGCGAACGGGUGAGUAACGCGUAAUCAACCUGCCCUUCAGAGGGGGACAACAGUUGGAAACGACGGCUAAUACCGCAUACGAUCUAACCUCGGCAUCGAGGAAAGAUGAAAGGUGGCCUCUAUGUAUAAGCUAUCACUGAAGGAGGGGAUUGCGUCUGAUUAGCUAGUUGGAGGGGUAACGGCCCACCAAGGCGAUGAUCAGUAGCCGGUCUGAGAGGAUGAACGGCCACAUUGGGACUGAGACACGGCCCAGACUCCUACGGGAGGCAGCAGUGGGGAAUCUUCCGCAAUGGACGAAAGUCUGACGGAGCAACGCCGCGUGAGUGAUGACGGCCUUCGGGUUGUAAAGCUCUGUUAAUCGGGACGAAAGGCCUUCUUGCGAAUAGUGAGAAGGAUUGACGGUACCGGAAUAGAAAGCCACGGCUAACUACGUG